rnacentral:tRNA from 1 species
GCUUAGUUGAAAAGCACAAGGUUUUUAACCUUGUGGACAUGGAUUCAAGCCCCAU